UUGUGUCAGCACGCCGCGGUAACACCGGCAGCUCAAGUGGUAGCCGCUUUUAUUGGGCCUAAAGCGUCCGUAGCCGGUCUGAUAAGUCUCUGGUGAAAUCCCACAGCUUAACUGUGGGAAUUGCUGGAGAUACUAUCAUGACUCGAGGUCGGGAGAGGCUGGAGGUACUCCCAGGGUAGGGGUGAAAUCCUGUAAUCCUGGGAGGACCACCUGUGGCGAAGGCGUCCAGCUGGAACGAACCUGACGGUGAGGAACGAAGCCCGGCC
rnacentral:rRNA from 1 species